UCCGUGGUGGUCCAGUGGCUGAGACUCCGCACUCCCAGUGCAGGGAGCCCAGGUUCGAUUCCUGGUCAGGGAA
rfam:TPA: Bos taurus chromosome 17, whole genome shotgun sequence.